rnacentral:rRNA from 1 species
GACGAACGCUGGCGGCGUGCUUAACACAUGCAAGUCGAACGGAAAGGCCCUGCUUUUGUGGGGUGCUCGAGUGGCGAACGGGUGAGUAACACGUGAGUAACCUGCCCUUGACUUUGGGAUAACUUCAGGAAACUGGGGCUAAUACCGGAUAGGAGCUCCUGCUGCAUGGUGGGGGUUGGAAAGUUUCGGCGGUUGGGGAUGGACUCGCGGCUUAUCAGCUUGUUGGUGGGGUAGUGGCUUACCAAGGCUUUGACGGGUAGCCGGCCUGAGAGGGUGACCGGCCACAUUAGGACUGAGAUGCGGACCAGACUCCUACGGGAGGCAGCAGUGGCGAAUAUUACACAGUGGGCGGAAGCCUGAUGCAGCAGCGCCGCGUGCGGGAUGACGGCCUUCGGGUUGUAAACCGCUUUCGCCUAUGACGAAGCGUGAGUGACGGUAAUGGGUAAAGAAGCACCGGCUAACUACGUG